rnacentral:rRNA from 1 species
GACGAACGCUGGCGGCGUGCUUAACACAUGCAAGUCGAACGAGUGGCGAACGGGUGAGUAAUGUCUGGGAAACUGCCCGAUGGAGGGGGAUAACUACUGGAAACGGUAGCUAAUACCGCAUACCAUCGGAUGUGCCCAGAUGGGAUUAGCUAGUAGGUGGGGUAACGGCUCACCUAGGCGACGAUCCAUAGCUGGUCUGAGAGGAUGACCAGCGAAACUGGAACUGAGACACAGUCCAGACUCCUACGGUAGGCAGCAGAGGGGAAGAUUGCAUAAUGGGCGCAAGCAGGAUGCAGCCAUGCCGCGUGUAUGAAGAAGGCCUUCGGGUUAUAAAGUACUUUCAGCGAGGAAGCGUUACUCGCAGAAGAAGCACCGACUAACUCCGGGCCAGCAGCCGCGGUAAUAC